AGGGACGUCAUCGAGGGUGACAACCCCGUCCGCGCCCGGAACGCGUCGCUCCACGAGGACCUGUCUGCGAGUCGGGCUGUUUGGGAAUGCAGCCCUAAUCGGGAGGUAAAUUCCUUCCAAGGCUAAAUAUGGGCAAGAGACCGAUAGCGAACAAGUACCGCGAGGGAAAGAUGAAAAGGACUUUGAAAAGAGAGUUAAAAAGUGCUUGAAAUUGCUGGGAGGGAAGCGAAUGGAAGCUGCGGGUGCGGCCCGGUUGGAUGUGGAACGGCUUCGGCUGGUCCGCCGCUCAACGCGGGGCGCUGGUCAGCGUGGGCCAUGGCGCCGGGACAAGAGCAGGGAUUCGCUUCCUGCCUAUGCCGGUGCGGUGGCCGAGGAACGAAGCGCGCGCCUUCUGGCGUGGGUUCGCCCAACUGCGCGCUCGGGACGCUGGCGUAUUGAGCUCUUCAUCCGACCCGUCUUGAAACACGGACCAAGGAGUCUAACAUGUAUGCGAGCCGGUGGGCGGCAAACCCAUUGAGGCGCAAGUAAACUGACAGGUGGGACCCCGACCGUGAGGGAGGGAGCACCAUCGACCGACCGUGAUCUUCUGUGAAAGGUUUGAGUGUGAGCAUACCUGUUGGGACCCGAAAGAUGGUGAACUAUGCCUGAGCAGGGCGAAGCCAGAGGAAACUCUGGUGGAGGCUCGUAGCGAUACUGACGUGCAAAUCGUUCGUCAGACUUGGGUAUAGGGGCGAAAGACUAAUCGAACCAUCUAGUAGCUGGUUCCCUCCGAAGUUUCCCUCAGGAUAGCUGGAGCUCGNGUNCAAGUUUUNUCAGGUAAAGCGAAUGAUUAGAGGCAUCGGGGGUGUNNANNNNUCNACCUAUUCUC
rnacentral:rRNA from 1 species